UCUCUCUUCGUUUUCUCUCUCUUUCAUUCCUCCAACCCUAAUAUUCAGUCACUCUCUCUUUCUUUCUCUCCCACCGAAAAUAAUGGGAAAAGCUUUGUAUCAAAGCAAUAAACUGUUUCCGAUGACAAAGAUGAGUUAGUGAAUCACAUUGGCCUCUCACAUCCUACACUGUUUCCGAUCUGUUCCCUCUAUAAACCUUCUGAGACCCAUAGCAAACUGCAUAAACUCAUGUCAAGAUCGAAGACAAAGAUACGAAGCCAACAGCAGAAACCCAUAACCACACUAAUCUUCGUCUCCGAUUCUAUGGUAUCUUAGAAACCCAUCUUUCAUUUCAAUCUCUCUUUCACUAUUUCUCACUGUGAGUUCAUAGUUGGAACUUAGAUCUAUUUUUAGAUCUUAAAAAGAGUUUACGGGAAAAAGUUUAUCAGAAUAGGUCUUGAAUUAGUAGAUCUAUGGUGUUUUUAUUUAUUUUUGCUAGGAUUUUAAUUUCAAAAGAAAGAAGCAGGAUUUACAUGUGGUGACCAUAUUUGCUAAUAGGGAGAGAAAAAUUGGUGAUUUAAUUGCAAAGUUUAUGGAGAGAGUUGGAAAAGAAGGUGUUAUCACAAUUGUUGGCUCAAUGAAUUCAUGAAUAUGAAGUGAGAGAAAAAGAUGAUGAUUGCAAGAAAAAUAUAUGAUUAAAGACAAAGAAAGGACAUGAUUCAUUGAAAGAUGAAGGAAUGCAGGAUUUGUUGACAAAAGGGUGAAGAUGAUACAACUGAAAGCAUGCGACCAUUUUAUGUUGAAACGUGAUCGCCCACCAUCUAUUAUAAUUCUCUGUCUUGUGUGAGAUGCAGCUGCUAGGUUGCCUGGAAGUACUGGUACUAGAGCAGAUGUUUGUACAUUAAUUUGAUAUUCUCAAUAUGUUGUUGAUGAUGUCACUGAUGCACAAAUUAACCAAGUAGUUGGUGGAGCUUUGGAUAGAUUGCAUUAUGAACGUGAUCUUUGUGUGCAAUUUGAUGGUGAGAGGAAAAUGUGGGCUUAUUUGCAUAGAGAUAUAGAAGAAGAAGAUUUUGAGGAUGAUGUCACGUCAUCCACAAAGAAAUGGAAGAGGCAGAAAAAAGAUGUUGCUGAUAAAUCCGAUCAGCCCCCAGUAACUGUUGCCUGUAAUGGGCUGUUGAGCAAAGUGGAUAUGAUUUGUGCUCUGAUCUCAAUGUGGAUCCAUCAUGCAUUGAAGAUGAUAAGGGAGUAGUCUAACUUAUUUCUAUUGAUACAAGGCUGAUUGUACAAUAAUAACAUAUAUAUUAUGGUACUUGAUAGUUAUUGAGAACAGUUAUUCACUACACUAUUAAUCAUUGUUCUUAAUUGAUUAAUAA